CAGUCGCCACGGUAAUACGUAGAGUGCGAGCGUUAAUCGGAAUUACUGGGCGUAAAGCGUGCGCAGGCGGUUUUGUAAGACAGGCGUGAAAUCCCCGGGCUCAACCUGGGAAUGGCGCUUGUGACUGCAAAGCUAGAGUGCGGCAGAGGGGGAUGGAAUUCCGCGUGUAGCAGUGAAAUGCGUAGAUAUGCGGAGGAACACCGAUGGCGAAGGCAAUCCCCUGGGCCUGCACUGACGCUCAUGCACGAAAGCGUGGGGAGUAAACAGGAUUAGAUACCCCAGUAGUCCCUGUCUCUUAUAC
rnacentral:rRNA from 1 species